GUGGGGAGGCACCGGGCAGGGUGCGACGGGCAGGGCAAAGAGCACCCACCCCGGUCAGCCCUGGCUGCCAGCGGGGCCGCCUCGGUGUCGAUGCCUGUGUUAUUUUGCGCGCUCCGCCCCCCCGGAGAAACCUCAUCCUACUUAUAGUGGCGACCGCAAGCGCCCAGCAGUCAUGAGUCAGCCGUGCCCAGCAUCGCACGGGGAGGCAGCCAUGCUUCUGUUUCUACCAGCCUUCCCAGGAUCUCUUCAGCUGCUGCUUCAGCUACGGCAAACAACAGAACAAAUCCCAAAUCAGAGCCCUUGUUCAGCAAAGAUCUACAGACAGAAGAAACAGUCUGCCAAAUACAGAGAUUAAAUACCACGUGCAACUUUGAAGAGUGCAUCUGAGGAUGAGACAUGUGGAUGUUUCACUUGGACACAUGCACUGGCUCAUAGAUAAGGAGGGCAGGAAUCUGGUCUGUGCUGCUCUGGCAGAGUGCAGAGGACACCAGCACCUCCCGACUCUGAGCAGGACAAGAUUUUUUUCCAAUCCCAAAUACAUGGCAAGAACAUGGACCAUGCCUAGGUAGGGCUCCAUUUCAACCAUCCCCUCUGAUGCCAAUGGUCUCUCCUGCUGCAGGAGAGCUUAUCAGGCAGCUCGUUUAAACCCCCAUACCUCAAGACUAAAGGCCCUCCACCACUUUCUGCAUGAGGCUGACUCAGGAUGCAACCAGCUUUGGAUGAAAUAGUGGCAGAGGUGUAAUUAUGUGCAGAAAAACAAUGUAACAAACUGGGUCAGGAAGGGAACACUUUUCCCACACUUGAAAUUACCACAAGGACUUCAGGACGAAGAGUAUCACUUUGUCCUUGGAAAUCUGACUCAUCUCAGCCUUUAAGUCCCCCACUGAAAGUGUAUCUGAUGGCCUUUUCUCUUUCUUUUCAGCUCUUAACAGGAUGCUUUCGGCACUCAGGUCUCUACCUAGGUGAUCGAGGUCUUAUGAUAAAAACAAGAAAACAGAAAGAAAAGAAACCAACAGUACAAUUCCAAUAGGUGGAGAACCUAAACAAAUCUCUAUGGAGUUUUUAGCUGGAGACAGAGCCCCAGAACACAUGAUGGAAUGAGCAAAUGCAUGACAAAAACUUAACACAUCCCUGAAGCUCAAGAAACAGGCUCACAAACUUUGAACAAUCCUCCAAUACCUCCAGUGCUCCUGUUUAGGAUCAGUGCAUUCUUUUGCAUUCUGGUUAAAACCCAGGCAUGGCUGGGUAACUGAAAGGAAGCCAAGCAGCAGAGACAGCUCUGAUGUUACUGUACAAAGUAGUUAUUGCCAUUAGGAGAUAAAGGAACACAGCAAUUGCCCUUAAUUUAGGAACAGAGAGCAGAGGGAUGACUAGCAGCUGAGGGAGUCCACAUGCACGUGCACUAACACAGAAUCUAUAGCAUGGGGGCAAGAGGAUGCAUUUUCAAGAUGACAUGGAAAGAACCCACUUUGAAGUUUCCAGACUGAGUAAAAUCAAUAUCUAAAUGUUUCAGUGAAAUGUGUUUGAUGUUGUCUACAUGUAGAAACCCAAUAGAGGCCACUUAUUAUUGAAUAGUACUAGACUGAGCAAAGUAGGUCAUAUUACAGCUUUGUUGGAGAGGCAGCAUUGUACCUGCCAGAACAGCACCCUUAAUGCAUUGUAUCUGGCACUGGAGAAUAGGGAGGAUAUGCACCCAAACCACCUGCAAGAAUGACUACAAAGAUGAGCAGAUCUCUUCUGUGCUUGUUUUCUGAAAUAAUCAUUGGUCAAAUUGCCAGAGUCUGUCAAGUGGCUAC